AUUGAACGCUGGCGGCAUGCCUUACACAUGCAAGUCGAACGGCAGCACGGGAGCAAUCCUGGUGGCGAGUGGCGAACGGGUGAGUAAUAUAUCGGAACGUGCCCAGUCGUGGGGGAUAACGCAGCGAAAGCUGUGCUAAUACCGCAUACGAUCUAAGGAUGAAAGCGGGGGAUCGCAAGACCUUGCGCGAUUGGAGCGGCCGAUAUCAGAUUAGCUAGUUGGUGGGGUAAAGGCCCACCAAGGCGACGAUCUGUAGCUGGUCUGAGAGGACGACCAGCCACACUGGAACUGAGACACGGUCCAGACUCCUACGAGAGGCAGCAGUGGGGAAUUUUGGACAAUGGGCGCAAGACCGAUCCAGCAAUGCCGCGUGCAGGAUGAAGGCCUUCGGGUUGUAAACUGCUUUUGUACGGAACGAAACGGCCCUUUCUAAUACAGGGGGCUAAUGACGGUACCGUAAGAAUAAGCACCGGCUAACUACGUGCCAGCCGCCGCAGUAA
rnacentral:rRNA from 1 species